rnacentral:rRNA from 1 species
CCUACGGGGGGCAGCAGUGGGGAAUAUUGGACAAUGGGGGCAACCCUGAUCCAGCAACGCCGCGUGAAUGAAGAAGGCCUUCGGGUUGUAAAGUUCUUUUGUCUGGGAGCAAAAGCACUGUGUGAAUAGCGUAGUGUAAUGAGAGUACCAGAAGAAUAAGCACCGGCUAACUACGUGCCAGCAGCCGCGGUAAUACGUAGGGUGCGAGCGUUAAUCGGAAUUACUGGGCGUAAAGGGUGCGUAGGCUGAAAUACAAGUUAGAUGUGAAAUACCCGAGCUUAACUUGGGAGGUGCAUAUAAUACUGUAUAUCUAGAGUUAGUGAGAGGAUGGGGGAAUUCCGAGUGUAGCAGUGAAAUGCGCAGAGAUUCGGAGGAACAUCGGUGGCGAAGGCGCCCAUCUGGCAUAUAACUGACGCUGAGGCACGAAAGCGUGGGUAGCAAACAGGAUUAGAUACCCCUGUAGUC